rnacentral:miRNA from 1 species
AUCACCUGGGGCCUUUGUUGAACUGCAGAUUCUGGUUCCAUAGGUCCUGGGUAGGACCUGAGAUUCUGCAUUUCUGACAAGUUCCAGGUUGAUGC